rnacentral:pre_miRNA from 1 species
AACCCGUAGAUCCGAACUUGUGGUCUAAUCUCUCACAAGCUCGUAUCUGCAGGGAUG